rnacentral:rRNA from 1 species
UACGUAGGGUGCAAGCGUUAAUCGGAAUUACUGGGCGUAAAGCGUGCGCAGGCGGUGAUGUAAGACCGAUGUGAAAUCCCCGGGCUAACCUGGGAACUGCAUUUGUGACUGCAUAGCUAGAGUACGGUAGAGGGGGAUGGAAUUCCGCGUGUAGCAGUGAAAUGCGUAGAUAUGCGGAGGAACACCGAUGGCGAAGGCAAUCCCCUGGACCUGUACUGACGCUCAUGCACGAAAGCGUGGGGAGCAAACAGG